UACGUAGGGGGCAAGCGUUGUCCGGAAUCAUUGGGCGUAAAGCGCGUGUAGGCGGCUUGGUAAGUCUGCUCUGAAAGCCCGGGGCUCAACCCCGCGUCGGCCGUGCGAACUGUUUUGCUUGAGCACUGUAGAGGCAGGCGGAAUUCCGGGUGUAGCGGUGGAAUGCGUAGAGAUCCGGAAGAACACCGGUGGCGAAGGCGGCCUGCUGGGCAGUAGCUGACACUGAGGCGCGACAGCGUGGGGAGCAAACAGG
rnacentral:rRNA from 1 species